rnacentral:rRNA from 1 species
CCGGCACGGGUGAGUAACGCGUAUGCGACCUGCCCGUUGCAGGGGGAUAAUCGGGAGAAACCCCGUCUAAUACCGCGUAAUGCCGCGGGGCUGCAUGGCCCUGCGGCCAAAGGGAGCGAUUCCGGCAACGGAUGGGCAUGCGUGACAUUAGCUAGUUGGCGGGGCAACGGCCCACCAAGGCGACGAUGUCUAGGGGUUCUGAGAGGAAGGUCCCCCACACUGGUACUGAGACACGGACCAGACUCCUACGGGAGGCAGCAG